UGUGAGUCAAUUGCGUCAUUUCUUUCUUUAGCGAGUGACGCAAAUGACCAUUAUGGUUUAUAUGUACUCUAGUUGCCUUCCGCCGUUCGAACAUCUAAACUCCAAACCCCAGAAAAUUCAACCCCAAAAUUCCCUGAAAUUCAACAUCAAAACCCCAAAAAAUUGAUCAGUAAAACCCCAGAAUUCCCCAUUGUUGCUUUGCUGCUGUUAAACCCCCAAAACAUCAGCGAAUAAACACUAAUCGAAAAUCCCAACAAAUGUGAGGCAAAAUCGAAAAUCCCAUAACCUACAAAUUCAACCACUAAUCAAAAAUCCCUGCAAAUGUGAGGCAAAAUCCCUUAUAUACGAGCAAAUCCGAGCCAAAAAUCCCCUAUUUUCGAUCAAAAAUCUACCCAAAACCGAACAUAAUUGUGAGAAAAUUGAAGUUUGAAUUUCGAAUUUAGGGUUCAUUUUUUGGUUCUACGAUUGCAAUAGAUGUUGCACACAGAUCUAAGCAAAGAGGUUUGAUUUUCGUUCAAUUUAGUAGCAAUUUGUUACGAUUCUCUUAAAGUUAGGGUUCGUACUCAAUAACAUGGAAUUUUGGAUCUAUUGUUGCUGAAGUUGCAAAAUCGAUUUUAUGCAAGCUUGUAGCAGCAUCAUUUUGUCUCAGAACAGAGGGGGGCAGCAGAACCUUUUUAGCAUAGCCAUUGUAAUCAUGAACUAGCCUUGCAAACCCCGCAGCCAGUAGCACACUAUUCGGAUUCUCACCUUGAAAUACAACCGGUGGCAAGGCAAGGCAUGGUAUCAUAAAUCUUCUCAUAGACCGAUGCACUGACCCAGACAAGAAUACUAAGAAAUUUGCCUGUUUUGCUAUAGGAAAUGCAGCCUUCCAUAAGGAUUCAUUAUACGAAGAACUUAUGAGCUCAUUCUCUAAACUGACAAAUCUGCUGCUGCUACCUGAGGAGGAUAUCACAAAAUUAAAUGCUGCAGGUGCACUGGGUAAUCUUGUUCGUCACUCUAACCUCCUCUGUGAAGAUAUCGUGUCUCAUGGUGCAAUUCAGGAACUGGUGACUUUAAACUGUUUGCAAGAGAAAAAGGAAGUGGACUUCCAUUAUGGACUUGUUCGUGUUAGGGAAAAUGAAGAUUUUGUCCCUAAAUUGAAUUAUGCUGGCUUCAAAUUCCGUAUUAUUUAUUGGAUUAUUUUGUUAUAGUUCUUAGGCUUGAAAUGAACGCAUUUGGUUUACCAACAUUUGGGUUGGUCUGGUGCUUGUGUUAUACUUAUUAAUGAUGAAGAUGUCAAUAUUGUUUUGUUGUAAACUUAUUUGACAGGUUGCUGAUACAAGGCGCCGUCAUUCCCAAAUUAAUGGGUAGGCUAAAAUACAAAGGAAAUUAUGUCGAAAUUUUUAUUUGA